rnacentral:rRNA from 1 species
ACUUGCCUUUGCGAGGGGGAUAACAGUUGGAAACGACUGCUAAUACCGCAUAAUGUCUUCGGACCAAACAGGGCUUCGGCUCUGGCGCAAAGAGAGGCCCAAGUGAGAUUAGCUAGUUGGUGAGGUAAAGGCUCACCAAGGCAACGAUCUCUAGCUGUUCUGAGAGGAAGAUCAGCCACACUGGGACUGAGACACGGCCCAGACUCCUACGGGAGGCAGCAGUGGGGAAUAUUGCACAAUGGGGGAAACCCUGAUGCAGCCAUGCCGCGUGUGUGAAGAAGGCCUUCGGGUUGUAAAGCACUUUCAGUUGUGAGGAAAAGUUAGUAGUUAAUACCUGCUAGCCGUGACGUUAACAACAGAAGAAGCACCGGCUAACUCCGUGCCAGCAGCCGCGGUAAUACGGAGGGUGCGAGCGUUAAUCGGAAUUACUGGGCGUAAAGCGCACGCAGGCGGUUUGUUAAGCUAGAUGUGAAAGCCCCGGGCUCAACCUGGGACGGUCAUUUAGAACUGGCAGACUAGAGUCUUGGAGAGGGGAGUGGAAUUCCAGGUGUAGCGGUGAAAUGCGUAGAUAUCUGGAGGAACAUCAGUGGCGAAGGCGACUCCCUGGCCAAAGACUGACGCUCAUGUGCGAAAGUGUGGGUAGCGAACAG